rnacentral:rRNA from 1 species
GAUGAACGCUGGCGGCGUGCCUAAUACAUGCAAGUCGAGCGAACAGACGAGGAGCUUGCUCCUCUGACGUUAGCGGCGGACGGGUGAGUAACGUGGAUAACCUACCUAUAAGACUGGGAUAACUUCGGGAAACCGGAGCUAAUACCGGAUAAUAUAUUGAACCGCAUGGUUCAAUAGUGAAAGACGGUUUUGCUGUCACUUAUAGAUGGAUCCGCGCCGCAUUAGCUAGUUGGUAAGGUAACGGCUUACCAAGGCAACGAUGCGUAGCCGACCUGAGAGGGUGAUCGGCCACACUGGAACUGAGACACGGUCCAGACUCCUACGGGAGGCAGCAGUAGGGAAUCUUCCGCAAUGGGCGAAAGCCUGACGGAGCAACGCCGCGUGAGUGAUGAAGGUCUUCGGAUCGUAAAACUCUGUUAUUAGGGAAGAACAAAUGUGUAAGUAACUAUGCACGUCUUGACGGUACCUAAUCAGAAAGCCACGGCUAACUACGUG